AUUGAACGCUGGCGACAGGCCUAACACAUGCAAGUCGAGCGAGCGGCGGACGGGUGAGUAAUGUAUGGGGACUGCCCGAUAGAGGGGGAUAACUACUGGAAACGGUAGCUAAUACCGCAUACUAUCGGAUAACCCAUAUGGGAUUAGCUAGUAGGUGAGGUAAUGGCUCACCUAGGCGACGAUCCCUAGCUGGUCUGAGAGGAUGAUCCGCAACACUGGGACUGGGACACGGCCCAGACUCCUACGGGGGGAGCGGUGGGGAAUAUUGCACAAUGGGCGCAAGCCUGAUGCAGCCCUGCCGCGUGUAUGAAGAGGGCCCUAGGGGUGUAAAGUACUUUCGGUCGGGAGAGGUUACCGACAGAAGAAGCACCGGCUAACUCCGUGCCAGCCGCCGCGGUAAAC
rnacentral:rRNA from 1 species